CAGGCUGCCGCAGUUGUAGCCAUCUCACUCACAUGUUUCAGAGCUCUGAUGUCUAACACAUAUCUGCUCUUUCCUGUUUCAAGGCCAUCACUUCCCUGCACAGAGUCUGAUUUUCUGCAGAUUUUCCUGAGGUGAAAAAACUCCAGACAAACUCAGUCCCCUUGUGCUGGAUACAGAGCUGAUACUAAUCUUGCUAAGCCUAGAAGCUCAGCUCUAAUGUCCAAUACGAGUUCAUGAACAAUGGGUUUGCAAAUAGCAAGAGAAGUGGUUACAGCAUGUGAUUAUAACCAGCAGCUGAGCAUGUGUGGAUGGUUUGUGACAAUCAUAAUGACACCAACUCUACUGCUCUCAAAGGAAGACUCAGACAUCGUCUUCCUCCUGGAUGAGUGAGAAAAGGAAAGCCUUGAUGAUUUUGAAGAAGCGUUUGUGAAGAACACAAGCUACAUCAACACUGGAAUCUUAUUUCAUCAGCAGACUGUCCCUACUCCCCAUACUGCUAUAAGUGCUCAUAUUUCCCUGUGGCAGGAGGAGAAGAGACUGACUGAGUGAAAGAGAAGUAGCAGAUCUUGUAGUCUUCCACUUCUUCAGUGGCCUUCCCAGAAAUGCCAUUCCUUCUGCAAAUUCGUCAUUUACUGCUCUUUCCUGAAAGUAAGAAGGGGGGAGUGGCUGAUGCCCCACAGUGAUCUGCAGCCCUCCAGAGGGCCCUCAACAGGCUGGAGAGAUGGGCAGAGAAGAACUGUCUGAAAUUCUACAGGGGCAAGUGCAGGGUCCUGCACCUGGGGAAGAACAACCCUGGGUACCAGCACAGGCUGGGGGCCAGCCUGCUGGAAAGCAGCUCUGUGGAGAAGGACCUGGGGGUCCUGGUGGACAACAAACUGGCCAUGAGCCAGCAGUGCCCCAGGCCAAUGGAAUCCUGGGAUGCAUUAGGAAGAGCAAUGCCAGCAGUCAAGGGAGGUGAUCCUGCUCCUCUGCUCAGCCCAAGUGAGGUCUCACCUGGAGUCUCUGCUCAGUUCUGGUCUCUGCAGUACAAGAGAGAUUAUGGAGGUCCUGGAGUGGGUCCAGCAGAGAACUACAAAGGUGAUGAAGGGACUGGAGGAGCUCUCUUACAAGGAAAGUCUGAGAGAAUUGAUUCUGUUCAGCCCCAAGAAGGAAUAACUGAGAGGGGACCUCACUGGUAUCUGUCAGUGUCUGCAAGGAGGGGUCAGAGGAGGGACCAGGCUCUGCUCAGUGGUGCUGGGCAAUAUGACAAGAGUCAAUGGGCAGUAAGUGAUGCACAGGAAGUUCCACCCAAACAUGAGGAAGAACUUCUUUACUGUGCCA